rnacentral:piRNA from 1 species
AUUACAGAGUUUACUGAUGUGUGU